AACGAACGCUGGCGGCAUGCCUAACACAUGCAAGUCGAACGAGACCUUCGGGUCUAGUGGCGCACGGGUGCGUAACGCGUGGGAACCUGCCCUUAGGUUCGGAAUAACUCCCCGAAAGGGGUGCUAAUACCGGAUAAUGUCUUCGGACCAAAGAUUUAUCGCCUUUGGAUGGGCCCGCGUUGGAUUAGCUAGUUGGUAGGGUAAAAGCCUACCAAGGCGACGAUCCAUAGCUGGUCUGAGAGGAUGAUCAGCCACACUGGGACUGGGACACGGCCCAGACUCCUACGGGAGGCAGCAGUGGGGAAUAUUGGACAAUGGGCGAAAGCCUGAUCCAGCAAUGCCGCGUGAGUGGUGAAGGCCUUAGGGUUGUAAAGCUCUUUUACCCGGGAUGAUAAUGACAGUACCGGGAGAAUAAGCUCCGGCUAACUCCGUG
rnacentral:rRNA from 1 species